rnacentral:lncRNA from 1 species
CAAGCUCGCAGAAGAAACUUCAGCAAUGCACGAGGCAACAGCAGGCGAACGAGAAAAAGUGGCCUCGGAAAGAGAGCAGGAGCUCUCGGCUGUGAACUCCAAGCUGACAGCUUUGAAAGAGACCUUGGCUGGCCAAGAGGAGACUCUCAAGUCGGCUUUCCAAGCCGAGGCAGAACUGCGAGGCAAGCUUUCGAGCGCAGAAGAAGCUACGGCAAAGCAUCAGGCUGACGCAGGGGAGAGCCAGAGAGCCGCAGCGGAGAAGAUCGCCGCUCUCGAGAGUACCAUCGAGAAGCUGGGGGAGAAGCUGGCUAAUACGGAGGAAGUGCUCGAGGCCACCAAACAAGAGGCUGCGAGAUCCAAAGACGCUGAAAGUAAGAAGGUGGAAGAGCUCGAGAAGGAAGCCGAGGCUAUGGCAUCAAACUUUCAAGCAGAGCUCGUGAAGGUCCAAGGUGUGGCGAGCUCUCUGGAGGAAAAACUGGACGAAGCAGCUCGACUCAUUUCUGAGCAGGAGAAGACGAUCUCGCGAAUGCAGGAGAGCGAGGCCCAGCAGCGAGAUGGCUACGCAUCGGACACCAAGUCGCUCCUCGCCAAGCUAAGCGCGAUGAGCGAAGAGUUUUCCAAGGAAAAGCAGCUGCUGGAUAAUGAGGUAACUCUUGCUUGGUCUUCUUCUUUCCUUCUAAUACUUUGUGAUGGACGCCAGAUAUCUAGUGUCAAAGGCGAGAGAGAGGAUCUUCGUAAGAAGCUGAGUGAGAUCCACGUAAAUGGAGCGUUUGCCAAGAAGUUGGAGACUCGUCCGGCGGAGCCAGCCGUUGAAGAAGUCGAGGUAAGGAACCACACUUCUAUAGUUUUCUCUCCUUCUUCCUCGCUUGCUGCUAAGACAUGGAUUUUCAUCUUCGUCACAGAUGAGAAGUAUCUCCAGAGAUUUUGAUACCGGAGCUCUCAAGGCAACGCCGAGGAGGAGGAAAGGAGCGGCUUCUUCCGCGGGAGUUGUGGAGGAGGAGACGAGCAGUGGCAAGGACAAAGUGGUGGGAAAGCAGGGCAAGGCUUCCUCCGGGUUCCUGGGAGCAACCAUUGUCGCGGUUUCUGUGAGCUCCUUCUUCGUCGGCUUACUGGUGGACAGGAAACUAUUUUGAGAGAGAGGAAAAAGAAAAAGUAUAUAUUUUUUCUUAUCUUUGCGGCUUUUCAUAUUCUAAAUUAUUUGACAUACAGAUUGAAAUAUAAUUCUAUGUAGGCUUCUACUCAUCAAACAAAUGAAAACUCUCUGAAAACCCUGGGAUCCAACUAUAAAUUUUCUUUUGACAAAAAUUUCCAUGAAUCAGCAAGCUUGUAUUUCUGGCAGGUCUGCCAGAAAUCCCUCAAUAUCAAGAAACACAUCGUUUAAUUCUUGAGGUUGCCCCCAGUAAUUGGUUUGCACAUCUCCACCUUGAACCCCACCGACAAACUCCUGACUAACUCGAUCAGCAAACAGUCCAUCGCCAAGCUCACUAGUUUGAGCAAACAGUUCUUGCUCACAAUCACCAACGAACUCCUGACUAACUUGAUCAGCAAACACUCCAUCGCCAAGCUCGCUAGUUUGAGCAAACACUUCUUGCACACAAUCACCAACAGGCCCUUGACCCAAGCCUGGCAGAAGCUUCCAGUUUUGAUCAAAACCCUCGUGAGAGAAAGGUUGGGCACAAUCACCAACACCAUAACCUUGCUCCCAAUAAAUAGUUUGAUCAAAACCCGCAACACAAUCACCCAUAACUUGAGAUGAUUCGCCUACAAAUUCUUCCUGGACGACUGGAGCGAUCUUGUCUACCCCAUGGCUCUUUAAAGUUCUCUUAUUUCCACCGGUGGGCGAUAGCGAUACGUCCCUUACCUUGCCACCUUGUGUCCAUUUUCCCUUGCACGACCUGCAAAUAUAGCGCGGCUGGUCGCGCUUGCCAGUACUCUUCUCGUUGUUGUAGUAAUCGAACCGCGUGUUGUAAGAUUGGCACCUUGGGCACUGGUACACGUUGUCCGGAAGGUCGUGGUGCUCCCACACGCCGUACAAGUUUUGAUCCCUCACCUCUUGGGCCGUGAGCUUGCAAGCCCUCUCGCUUCUCAGUCGACGCUUCUUUGUCGGCACCAUGAUACCGUCGUCUUCUCUACUUCUCUUGCUUGCUCUCGCCAUAGCUCGUACGAUCCUAAAGGACUUGACCUUAUUUAUUUAUAUAUGCACUAAAGUAAAGGCUGGGUUAGCUUAAACAGCGUAGCUUCCCACUAAUCCUGUGCGCUUUAAGGUAAGAAUAUCAGUCGAAAGAUGGAUGGAUAUGCGGCAUCCACAUCGCAGCGGGCAAGAAGGAAAGAGUCUGUCGAGAAGCCAGGCAUGCGCAAGUAUUCUCAUCACAAUGUAUGGCAAAUGGUUUGGCUGUAAAUACAAUCAAGGCGCUAAAGGUUGAUGAUGGAAAACUGGUGAAGCUCAAGAUCUAUCUAUAGGCAUUUCCAUCCACGCUGUCCAGAGCGACGAGCUGUGGCUGUGACACAGAUGCCUUUGUCAGCACCUUGUUGAAGAUGGAAGUGCCGUGUUUGACAGGCGUUCAUUCCUCCGACUAUGAUCCAGGCCUACACUGAAAAAACGGCGAACCACGCAUUGUAUCCAAGCAUCAAACUGUUCCAUGACACAGUUGAAAAAUCCAGCCUGUCGAACACUCCACGAGCGUCGACACUCGGCUCGGGCUCGGCACACAUGCGAAUCAAAACCGCUCGGAUUUUCACCGACUCAAACUUGAUCACGCGUUUCUUCUCAGUCGCAUCAUCCAGUACGCUAUCUUCUUCGGUUGCCAGGAGGGAGCAGGCCUUCAACGCAGCCACAAUCGUUCGAGGAUGGCUGACAGUAAAUAGUUCUCAUGCGUGAAAACAAAUGGAGAGCGGAGCGCACGGGCUUGGUUCUCGAGUGGAGCUGUUUCCAUUCAUGGAACGAUCCGGGGUUUUCUCACCUUUGUGGCUGCGUUGAAAGCUUGCGCUAGUUUGGAUAGGCAAACUUGUCAAACUCCGUGCUUUAGAAGAUGGCAUGGCUAUCGCUUUGGAACUCUUCUUUCGGAUGGGGCUGAAAGGAGUCACGAGUGCUCAUCCUCUCAACAUGGUGACUUGUGAGGCAAACUCUUAUUCCUGGUCUCCAGGAAAUGAUCGAAGACUCGUCUGGCGGAGCCAAACAUAGAAGAACUUGACGAGGUAACAAACACUUCUUAGUUUUCUCCUCUUGAGAAAUGGAUUUCCCUUGUUGUCACAGAUCUACAGAGAUUGUGAUACUAGGGUUCUCAAGGCGGCUUCUCACGGAGGAGGCAACCACUGUCGCUUCACUUUUAGAUAUUCUAUGUUAUGUGCUUUUAAUUACAUGUACUUGCCAACAUUUAUGAGGAAUUUCGGGAACUCAGGAUUAUGUUAUGUUAGAAUAUACUCAAACCACAAACCAAAAUAUUGCUUAAUUUGAUCCGCGGGCCCCACGACGGGAUAUGUUAUGUUAUGUUAUCUACUUUAGAGGUCCCAAAUGACCUAAAAAACAUGAGCAAGGUGGUGGUACAGAAUAUGCCGCGGUAUCAGACAUUCUUUAUACCUCCACCUUCCCGUUUUUUAAAGUAGCUGUAGCUCCCCUAUCGUGGUGUUGGUAGGGACAGGGCAAAAGUAUGUUGUACUACUGGUAGAAGUCACACAUUCCAAGUCUGGAUGCCGUUAAUUACAUUCUAGGGUGAUGAGUUUAUUCUCAAUGUUCUUGCUCCUUGUUCUCUCAGUUGUCCCAGUGGCCUCAUGCCUCUAGCAUCUAAAAACAUGUAUUAGUGACAAGUAGGAACAAUUGUAAUAGCAUAACUAACAUUUUAGUGACUAGCUUUGUUGCAAGAGACCCUGAUAGUGCGGGUACUUGCACCAAUCUUACAUUAUAAAAGCACUAAAGGUCGUGAUUGUUUGAUCUCCUUGAAAAAAGAGUAGUUUAGCUUUAUUGGCUCCUAACCAGUCUUCGCUUGCCGAAAUUCCUCUCAGAUUGCUUAUUUUACUUUUGGAUAAAGUUCAAAAUCGGAGAACUAGAAUGGAUCACCAAAAAUUUCUUACAGUUAGAAGGAAGCAGAGAAGCUCCGGUCCUUGCCCUCAGGCUGACCAGAUGUGCCUGGCAAAUGCUGGCAGUGUGCUCCAGCAAUCCAUCUAGCAUGGUGAUGCUUGAGAACAGGCGGCAGAAAUGCCUGACGACGAGGGUGUUCUAGUCAGUCCUACAAACCAGUCAUGAAGAAUCCUGGGGUUCGCAUCGCAACAGAUGCCCAUGUUCAGCAAAAACUCCUAAUUUGUAUAUUUUUAAAUGUGUGUGCAAUAUUUAGUUUGCUUAAUAAUAGUACUAUUUCUAUUUAUUAGUGAAUAUACUUAAAAUAUACUUGGAUACUCUGGGAUAUUCUACUAUCUAAUGGUUGUUAUUCAUUUAAAUUAAUCAUGUAUUUAUAAUUUAUAAACAUUCCUAAACACUUUCUAGCAUAUUUUAGUUUAUUCUGAAAGCUGAUAUUUAAUCUUGUGUUUAUGAAUUAUAAACAUGUUAUAAUCAUAAAAUUGAUCAAUAUAAUUAAUGAAUAAUAAGCACUAUUAUUAAGCAAACCAAGCUUUGCUGCAUGCAAUGCACAACAAAUUUUUAAUCUAGUUGAUCAAAUGGAAGUUUAUAAUUUAUAAACACAAGAUUAAUCUUAUUAUAUAUCAACCAUUAAAUAGUAGAAUAAAUUAGAAUAUAAUAGAAACUGCUUGGGAAAGGUUAUAAUUUAUAAAUGUGUUUAUAAAUUAUAAAUUCAAGAUUAAAUAUAAAUUAAUAACAACUGUUAAAUGGUAGAAUAUCCCAGAAAAUUCAAGUAUAUUCUAGAUAUAUUCAUUAACAAGUUUACUUAAGCAAACCAAAAAUUCUGAAAAAAUUGGCAACUAUAUAUAAGGGCUUUUGACAAAAAUUUCCAUGAAUCAGCAAGCUUGUAUUUCUGGCAGGUCUGCCAAAAAUCCCUCAAUAUCAAGAAACACAUCAUUGACUUCUUGAGGUUGCCCCCAGCAAUUGGUUUGCACAUCUCCACGUUGAACCAACUCCUGACUAACUUGAUCAGCAAACACUCCAUCGCCAAGCUCGCUAGUUUGAGCAAACACUUCUUGCACACAAUCACCAACAGGCCCUUGACCCAAGCCUGGCAGAAGCUCCCAAUAACUGUUUUGAUCAAAAGCCUCGUGAGAUAAAGGUUGGGCACAAUCACCAACACCAUAACCUUGCUCCCAAUAAGUAGUUUGAUCAAAACCCACAACACAAUUACCCAUAACUUGAGAUAAUUCGCCUACAAAUUCUUCCUGGACGACUGGAGCGAUCUUGUCUCCCCCAUGGCUCUUUGAAGUUCUCUUAUUUCCACCAGUGGGCGAUAGCGAUACGACCCUUACCUGGCCACCUUGUGUCCAUUUUCCCUUGCACGACCUACAAGCGUAGCGCGGCUGGUCGCGCUUGCCAGUACUCUUCUCGUUGUUGUAGUAAUCGAACCGCGUGUUGUAAGAUUGGCACCUUGGGCACUGGUACACGUUGUCCGGAAGGUCGUGGUGCUCCCACACGCCGUACAAGUUUUGAUCCCUCACCUCUUGGGCCGUGAGCUUGCAGGCCCUCUCGCUUCUCAGUCGACGCUUCUUUGUCAGCACCACUAUACCAUCGUCUUCUCUACUUCUCUUGCUUGCUCUUACCAUAGCUCGUACGAUCCUAAAGGACUUGACCCUAUUUAUUUAUAUAUGCACUAAAGUAAAGGCUGGGUUAGCUUAAAAAGCGUAGAUUCCCACUAAUAAUACAAUCAAGGCGCUAAAGGUUGAUGAUGGAAAACUGGUGAAGCUCAAGAUCUAUCUAUAGGGCAUUUCCAUCCACGCUGUCCAGAGCGACGAGCUAUGGCUGUGACACAGAUGCCUUUGUCAGCACCUUGUUGAAGAUGGAAGUGCCGUGUUUGACAGGCGUUCAUUCCUCCGACUAUGAUCCAGGCCUACCCUGAAACAACGGCGAGCCGCGCAUUGUAUCCAAGCAUCAAACUGUUCCAUGACACAGUUGAAAAAUCCAGCCUGUCGAACACUCCACGAGCGUCGACAGCAAACUUGUCAAACUCCGUGCUUUAGAAGAUGGCAUGGCUAUCGCUUUGGAACUCUUCUUUCGGACGGAGCUGAAAGGAGUCACGAGUGCUCAUCCUUUCAACAUGGUGACUUGUGGGGCAAACUCUUAUUCCUGGUCUCCAGGAAAUGAUCGAAGACUCGUCUGGGGAGCCAAACGUUGAAGAACUUGACGAGGUAAGGAACACUUCUUAGUUUUCUCCUCUUCAGAAAUGGAUUGCCCUUGUUGUCACAGAUCUACAGAGAUUGUGAUACUAGGGUUCUCAAGGCGGCUUCUCACGGAGGAGGCAACCACUGUCACUUCACUUUUAGAUAUUCUAUGUUUAAAGUUCCGAUUGCAAUCUACUUGCCAACAUUUAUGAGGAGCUCAGAGGAAUUUCCAGAACUCAAGAUUAUGUUAUGUUAGAAUACACACCAAAAUAUUGCUUAAUUUGUUUAUGUUAACUUAUCUACUUUAGAGGUGGAUAUAUUCUAAGUAUAUGCUCUCUAGAUCCAUAUUUCUUGCUCCUUGUUCUCUCAUUCUCUUCUUCAGUUGUCCCAGUAUGCCUCCAGCAAGACCCUCUAAAAAACAUGUAUGAGUGACAAGUAGGAACAAUUGUAAUAGCAUAACUAGCAAUUUAGUGGCUAGCUUUGUUGUCAGUCCACAAGAGACCCCGAUAGUGCGGGUACCAAUCUUCCCUUUUGUUAUCAACAAUAUAAAAGCACUAAAGAUCGUGAUUGCUUUUGGAAAGUUUGAUCUCCUUGAAAAAAGAGUAGUUUAGUUUUAUUGGCUCCUAACCGCUCAGUCUUCGCUUGCCGAAAUUCCUCUCAGAUCGCUUAUUUUACUUUUGGAUAAAGUUCAAAAUCAGAGAACUAGAAUGGAUCACCAAAGAUUUCUUACAGUUAGAAGGAAGCAGAGUAGCUCCGGUCCUUGCCCUCAGGCUGACCAGGUAGAAGAUUUGAUGUGCCUGGCAAAUGCUGGCAGUGUGCUCCAGCAAUCCAUCUAGCAUGGUGGUGCUUGAGGACAGGCGGCAGAAAUGCCUGACGAUGAGGGUGUUCUAGUCAGUCCUACAAACCAGUCAUGGAGAAUCCUGGGGUGAGAAAUUUGGUCAGAUGCCCAUGUUCAGCAAAACCUCCUAAUUUGUAUAUUUUUAAAUGUGUGUUGCAUGAAUAUUUAGUUUGCUUAGUAAUAGUAUUAUUCCUAUUGGUUUGCUUCGUGGUAGUGAAUAUAUUUAGAAUAUACUUAGAUACUCUGGGAAACUAAUGGCUGUUAUUCAUUUAAAUUAAUCAUGUAUUUAUAAUUUAUAAACAUUCCUAAACGCUUUCUGGCAUAUUCUAGUUUAUUCUGAAAGUUGAUAUUUAAUCUUGUGUUUAUAAAUUAUAAACAUGUUAUAAUCAUAACCUUUCAAUUGAUCAAUAUAAUUAAAAAAUAAUAAGCAUUAUUAUUAAGCAAACCAAGCUUUGCUGCAUGCAAUGCACAACAAAUUUUUGGUUUGCUUAAGCAAACCUAUAGGAGGAUUGGGAUGGUAAUGAAUAUACCUAGAAUAUGCUUGAAUAUUCUAGGAUAUUCUACCAUCUAACAGUUGUUAUUUAUUUAGAUUAAUCUUGUAUUUAUAAUUUAUAAACAUGUUUAUAAUUUAUAAACUUUCUUAAACCCCUUCUAGUAUAUUCUUUUUGAUUCUUUCAUCUAAUGGUUGAUAUGAAAUAAGAUUAAUCUUGUGUUUAUAAAUUACAAACAUACUUAUAAUUAUAAAGUUUAUUUGAUCAAUUGGAUUAAUAAAUAAUAAUAAAACUACUAUUAAGCAAACCAAGCGUUGCUACAUGCAAGGCGUAGCAAUUUUUUAAUCUAGUUGAUCAAAUGGAAGUUUAUAAUUUAUAAACACAAGAUUAGUCUUAUUAUAUAUCAACCAUUAAAUAGUAGAAUAAAUUAGAAUAACUGCUUAGGAAAGUUUAUAUUUUAUAAAUGUGUUUAUAAAUUAUAAAUUCAAGAUUAAAUAUAAAUUAAUAACAACUGUUAAAUGGUAGAAUAUCCCAGAAAAUUCAAGUAUAUUCUAGAUAUUAUCAUUACCCUUACUUAAGAAAACCAAAAAUUCUGAAAAAAUUGGCAACUAUGUAUAAGGGCUUUUGAGAAAAAUUUCCAUGAAUCAGCAAGCUUGUAUUUCUGGCAGGUCUGCCAGAAAUCCCUCAAUAUCAAGAAACACAUUAUUGAAUUCUUGAGGUUGCCCCCAGCAAUUGGUUUGCACAUCUCCACGUUGAACCCCACCAACAAACUCCUGACUAACUUGAUCAGCAAACACUCCAUCGCCAAGCUCGCUAGUUUGAGCAAACACUUCUUGCACACAAUCACCAACAGGCCCUUGACCCAAGGCUGGCAGAAGCUCCCAACAACUGUUUUGAUCAAAAGCCUCGUGAGAUAAAGGUUGGGCACAAUCGCCAACACCAUAACCUUGCUCCCAAUAAAUAGUUUGAUCAAAACCCGCAACACAAUCACCCAUAACUUGAGAUGAUUCGCCUACAAAUUCUUCCUGGACGACUGGAGCGAUCUUGUCUACCCCAUGGCUCUUUAAAGUUCUCUUAUUUCCACCGGUGGGCGAUAGCGAUACGUCCCUUACCUUGCCACCUUGUGUCCAUUUUCCCUUGCACGACCUACAAAUAUAGCGCGGCUGGUCGCGCUUGCCAGUACUCUUCUCGUUGUUGUAGUAAUCGAACCGCGUGUUGUAAGAUUGGCACCUUGGGCACUGGUACACGUUGUCGGGAAGGUCGUGGUGCUCCCACACGCCGUACAAGUUUUGAUCCCUCACCUCUUGGGCCGUGAGCUUGCAAGCCCUCUCGCUUCUCAGUCGACGCUUCUUUGUCGGCACCAUGAUACCGUCGUCUUCUCUACUUCUCUUGCUUGCUCUCGCCAUAGCUCGUACGAUCCUAAAGGACUUGACCUUAUUUAUUUAUAUAUGCACUAAAGUAAAGGCUGGGUUAGCUUAAACAGCGUAGCUUCCCACUAAUCCUGUGCGCUUUAAGGUAAGAAUAUCAGUCGAAAGAUGGAUGGAUAUGCGGCAUCCACAUCGCAGCGGGCAAGAAGGAAAGAGUCUGUCGAGAAGCCAGGCAUGCGCAAGUAUUCUCAUCACAAUGUAUGGCAAAUGGUUUGGCUGUAAAUACAAUCAAGGCGCUAAAGGUUGAUGAUGGAAAACUGGUGAAGCUCAAGAUCUAUCUAUAGGCAUUUCCAUCCACGCUGUCCAGAGCGACGAGCUGUGGCUGUGACACAGAUGCCUUUGUCAGCACCUUGUUGAAGAUGGAAGUGCCGUGUUUGACAGGCGUUCAUUCCUCCGACUAUGAUCCAGGCCUACACUGAAAAAACGGCGAACCACGCAUUGUAUCCAAGCAUCAAACUGUUCCAUGACACAGUUGAAAAAUCCAGCCUGUCGAACACUCCACGAGCAUCCACACUCGGCACAGGCUCGGCACACAUGCGAAUCAAAACCGCUCGGAUUUUCACCGACUCAAACUUGAUCACGCGUUUCUUCUCAGUCGCAUCAUCCAGUACGCUAUCUUCUUCGGUUGCCAGGAGGGAGCAGGCCUUCAACGCAGCCACAAUCGUUCGAGGAUGGCUGACAGUAAAUAGUUCUCAUGCGUGAAAACAAAUGGAGAGCGGAGCGCACGGGCUUGGUUCUCGAGUGGAGCUGUUUCCAUUCAUGAAACGAUCCGGGGUUUUCUCACCUUUGUGGCUGCGUUGAAAGCUUGCGCUAGUUUGGAUAAGCAAACUUGUUGAAAGGAGUUACGAGUGCUCGUCCUUUCAACAUGGUGACUUGUGAGGCAAACUCUUAUUCCUGCUCUCCAGGAAAUGAUCGAAGACUCGUCUGGGGAGCCAAACGUAGAAGAACUUGACGAGGUAAGAAAAACUUCUUAGUUUUCUCCUCUUGAGAAGUGGAUUUCCCUUGUUGUCACAGAUCUGCAGAGAUUGUGAUACUAGGGUUCUCAAGGUGGCUUCUCACCGAGGAGGCAACCACUGUCGCUUCACUUUUAGAUAUUCUAUGUUUAAAGUUCCGAUUGCAAUCUACUUGCCACAGAGGAAUUUCGGGAACUCAAGAUUAUGCUAUGUUAGAAUAUACUCAAACCACAAACCAAAAUAUUGCUUAAUUUGUUUAUGUUAACUUAUCUACUUUAGAGGUGGAUAUAUUCUAAGUAUAUGCUCUCUAGAUCCAUAUUCUCCCAUAUGACCUAAAAAACAUGAGAGUGUUGUUGUAGCUCCCCUAUCGUGGUGUUGGUAGGGACAGGGCAAAAGUUGUACUACUGGUAGAAGUUACACAUUCCAAGUCUGGAUGCCGUUACAUUCUAGGGUGAUGAGUUUAUUUUCAAUGUUCUUGCUCCUUGUUCUCAUUCUCUUUUUCAGUUGUCCCAGUGGUCUCCAAGACCCUCUAAAAACAUGUAUUAGUGACAAGUAGGAACAAUUGUAAUAGCAUAACUAGCAUUUUAGUGAUUAGCUUUGUUGUCAGUCCAAGUGUGUCUGAUAGUGCGGGUACUUGCACCAAUCUUCCCUUUUGUUAUCAAAACAACAUUAUAAAAACACUAAAGGUCGUGAUUGCUUUUGAAAGUUUGAUCUCCUUGAAAAAAGAGAAGUUUAGUUUUUUUGGCUCCUAACCGCUCAGUCUUCGCUUGCCGAAAUUCCUCUCAGAUCGCUUAUUUUACUUUUGGAUAAAGUUCAAAAUCGGAGAACUAGAAUGGAUCACCAAAGAUUUCUUACAGUUAGAAGGAAGCAGAGUAGCUCCCGUCCUUGCCCUCAGGCUGACCAGGUGGAAGAUUUGAUAGUGUGCUCCAGCAAUCCAUCUAGCAUGGUGGUGCUUGAGGACAGGCGGCAGAAAUGCCUGACGACGAGGGUGUUCUACUCAGUCCCAAACCAGUCAUGGAGAAUCCUGGGGUGAGAAAUUUGGUCCUCGAGAUGCCCAUGUUCAGCAAAAACUCCUGGUUUGUGUCAUUCUCCCCUUCGUCAUGACCCAGCCACAUAUGGCAGUUUCAAGAAGCUAAACAAGCCUCAUAUGAAGGGAGUCCAAAGCUAAUUUGUAUAUUUUUAUAUGUGUGUUGCAUGCAUAAUAUUUAGUUUGCUUAAUAAUAGUACUAUUUCUAUUUACUGGUUGGUAGUGAAUAUACUUAGAAUAUACUUGGAUACUCUGGGAUAUUUUACUUUCUAAUGGUUGUUAUUCAUUUAAAUUAAUUAUGUACUUAUAAUUUAUAAACAUUCCUAAACAAUUUCUAGCAUAUUCUAGUUUGUUCUGAAAGUUGAUAUUUAAUCUUGUGUUUAUAAAUUAUAAACAUGUUAUAAUCAUAACCUUCCAAUUGAUCAAUAUAAUUAAUAAAUAAUAAGCACUAUUAUUAAGCAAACCAAGCUUUGCUGCAUGCAAUGCACAACAAAUUUUUAAUCUAGUUGAUCAAGUGGAAGUUUAUAACUUAUAAACACAAGAUUAAUCUUAUUAUAUAUCAACCAUUAAAUAGUAGAAUAAAUUAGAAUAACUGCUUAGGAAAGUUUGUAACUUAUAAAUGUGUUUAUAAAUUAUAAAUUCAAGAUUAAAUAUAAAUUAAUAACAACUGUUAAAUUGUAGAAUAUCCCAGAAAAUUCAAGUAUAUUCUAGAUAUAUUCAUUACCCUUACUUAAGAAAACCAAAAAUUCUGAAAAAAUUAGCAACUAUAUAUAAGGGCUUUUGACAAAAAUUUCCAUAAAUCAGCAAGCUUGUAUUUCUGGCAGGUCUGCCAGAAAUCCCUCAAUAUCAAGAAACACAUCAUUGAAUUCUUGAGGUUGCCCACAGCAAUUGGUUUGCACAUCUCCACCUUGAACCCCACCAACAAACUCUUGACUAACUUGAUCAGCAAACACUCCAUCGCCAAGCUCGCUAGUUUGAGCAAACACUUCUUGCACACAAUCACCAACAGGCCCUUGACCCAAGCCUGGCAGAAGCUCCCAAUAACUGUUUUGAUCAAAAGCCUCGUGAGAUAAACGUUGGGCACAAUCACCAACACCAUAACCUUGCUCCCAAUAAAUAGUUUGAUCAAAACCCGCAGCAUAAUCACCCAUAACUUGAGAUGAUUCGCCUACAAAUUCUUCCUGGACGACUGGAGCGAUCUUGUCUCCCCCAUGGCUCUUUAAAGUUCUCUUAUUUCCACCGGUGGGCGAUAGCGAUACGUCCCUUACCUUGCUACCUUGUGUCCAUUUUCCCUUGCACGACCUACAAGCGUAGCGCGGCUGGUCGCGCUUGCCAGUACUCUUCUCGUUGUUGUAGUAAUCGAACCGCGUGUUGUAAGAUUGGCACCUUGGGCACUGGUACACGUUGUCCGGAAGGUCGUGGUGCUCCCACACGCCGUACAAGUUUUGAUCCCUCACCUCUUGGGCCGUGAGCUUGCAAGCCCUCUCGCUUCUCAGUCGACGCUUCUUUGUCGGCACCAUGAUACCGUCGUCUUCUCUACUUCUCUUGCUUGCUCUCGCCAUAGCCCGUACGAUCCUAAAGGACUUGACCUUAUUUAUUUAUAUAUGCACUAAAGUAAAGGCUGGGUUAGCUUAAACAGCGUAUAUUCCCACUAAUCCUGGACGGUUUAAGGUAAGAAUAUCAGUCGAAAGAUGGAUGGAUAUGCGGCAUCCACAUCGCAGCGCGCAAGAAGAAAAGAGUCUGUCGAGAAGCCAGGCAUGCGCAAGUAUUCUCAUCACAAUGUAUGGCAAAUGGUUUGGCUGUAAAUACAAUCAAGGCGCUAAAGGUUGAUGAUGGAAAACUGGUGAAGCUCAAGAUCAAUCUAUAGGCAUUUCCAUCCACGCUGUCCAGAGCGACGAGCUGUGGCUGUGACACAGAUGCCUUUGUCAGCACCUUGUUGAAGAUGGAAGUGCCGUGUUUGACAGGCGUUCAUUCCUCCGACUAUGAUCCAGGCCUACACUGAAAAAACGGCGAGCCACGCAUUGUAUCCAAGCAUCAAACUGUUCCAUGACACAGUUAAAAAAUCCAGCCUGUCGAACACUCCACGAGCGUCCACACUCGGCACUCGGCACGGGCUCGGCACACAUGCGAAUCAAAACCGCUCGGAUUUUCACCGACUCAAACUUGAUCACGCGUUUCUUCUCAGUCGCAUCAUCCAGUACGCUAUCUUCUUCGGUUGCCAGGAGGGAGCAGGCCUUCAACGUAGCCACAAUCGUUCGAGGAUGGCUGACAGUAAAUAGUUCUCAUGCGUGAAAACAAAUUGAGAGCGGAGCGCACGGGCUUGGUUCUCGAGUGGAGCUGUUUCCAUUCAUGGAACGAUCCGGGGUUUUCUCACCUUUGUGGCUGCGUUGAAAGCUUGCGCUAGUUUGGAUAGGCAAACUUGUCAAACUCCGUGCUUUAGAAGAUGGCAUGGCUAUCGCUUUGGAACUCUUCUUUCGGAUGGAGCUGAAAGGUGUCACGAGUGCUCAUCCUCUCAACAUGGUGACUUGUGAGGCAAACUCUUAUUCCUGGUCUCCAGGAAAUGAUCGAAGACUCGUCUGGCGGAGCCAAACAUAGAAGAACUUGACGAGGUAAGAAACACUUCUUAGUUUUCUCCUCUUGAGAAAUGGAUUUCCCUUGUUGUCACAGAUCUACAGAGAUUGUGAUACUAGGGUUCUCAAGGCGGCUUCUCACAGAGGAGGCAACCACUGUCGCUUCACUUUUAGAUAUUAUGUUUUGUGCUUUUAAUUACAUGUACUUGCCAACAUUUAUGGAAUUUCGGGAACUCAAGAUUAUGUUAUGUUAGAAUAUACUCAAACCACAAACCAAAAUAGCUUAAUUUGAUCGGCGGGCCCCACGACGGGAUAUGUUAUGUUAUGUUAUCUACUUUAGAGGUUAUGCUCUCUAGAUCCAUAUUCUCCCAAAUGACCUAAAAAACAUGAGCAAGGUGGUGGCACAGAAUAUGCCGCGGUAUCAGACAUUCUUUAUACCUCCACCUUCCCGUUUUUUAAAGUAGCUGUAGCUCCCCUAUCGUGGUGUUGGUAGGGACAGGGCAAAAGUAUGUUGUACUACUGGUAGAAGUCACACAUUCCAAGUCUGGAUGCCGUCAAUUACAUUCUAGGGUGAUGAGUUUAUUCUCAAUGUUCUUGCUCCUUGUUCUCUCAUUCUCUUCUUCAGUUGUCCCAGUGGCCUCAUGCCUCUAGCAUCUAAAAACAUGUAUUAGUGACAAGUAGGAACAAUUGUAAUAGCAUAACUAACAUUUUAGUGACUAGCUUUGUUGUCAGUCCACAAGAGACCCUGAUAGUGCGGGUACUUGCACCAAUCUUACAUUAUAAAAGCACUAAAGGUCGUGAUUGCUUUUGGAAAGUUUGAUCUCCUUGAAAAAAGAAUAGUUUAGUUUUUUUGGCUCCUAACCAGUCUUCGCUUGCCGAAAUUCCUCUCAGAUUGCUUAUUUUACUUUUGGAUAAAGUUCAAAAUCGGAGAACUAGAAUGGAUCACCAAAGAUUUCUUACAGUUAGAAGGAAGCAGAGAAGCUCCGGUCCUUGCCCUCAGGCUGACCAGGUAGAAGAUUUGAUGUGCCUGGCAAAUGCUGGCAGUGUGCUCCAGCAAUCCAUCUAGCAUGGUGAUGCUUGAGAACAGGUGGCAGAAAUGCCUGACGACAAGGGUGUUCUAGUCAAUCCUACAAACCAGUCAUGAAGAAUCCUGGGGUGAGAAAUUUUGCCCAUGUUCAGCAAAAACUCCUAAUUUGUAUAUUUUUAAAAUGUGUGUGCAAUAUUUAGUUUGCUUAAUAAUAGUAUUAUUUCUAUUUAUUGGUUUGCUUAGUGGUAGUGAAUAUACUUAGAAUAUACUUGGAUACUCUGGGAUAUUCUACUAUCUAAUGGUUGUUAUUCAUUUAAAUUAAUCAUGUAUUUAUAAUUUAUAAACAUUCCUAAACACUUUCUAGCAUAUUUUAGUUUCUUCUGAAAGUUGAUAUUUAAUCUUGUGUUUAUGAAUUAUAAACAUGUUAUAAUCAUAAAAUUGAUCAAUAUAAUUAAUGAAUAAUAAGCACUAUUAUUAAGCAAACCAAGCUUUGCUGCAUGCAAUGCACAGCAAAUUUUUAAUCUAGUUGAUCAAAUGGAAGUUUAUAAUUUAUAAACACAAGAUUAAUCUUAUUAUAUAUCAACCAUUAAAUAGUAGAACAAUUGAUCAAUAUAAUUAAAAAAUAAUAAGCAUUAUUAUUAAGCAAACCAAGCUUUGCUGCAUGCAAUGCACAACAAAUUUUUAAUAUAGUUGAUCAAAUGGAAGUUUAAAAUUUAUAAACACAAGAUUAGUCUUAUUAUAUAUCAACCAUUAAAUAGUAGAAUAAAUUAGAAUAACUUUAUAUUUUAUAAAUGUGUUUAUAAAUUAUAAAUUCAAGAUUAAAUAUAAAUUAAUAACAACUGUUAAAUGGUAGAAUAUCCCAGAAAAUUCAAGUAUAUUCUAGAUAUAUUCAUUACCCUUACUUAAGAAAACCAAAAAUUCUGAAAAAAUUGGCAACUAUAUAUAAGAGCUUUUGACAAAAAUUUCCAUGAAUCAGCAAGCUUGUAUUUCUGGCAGGUCUGCCAGAAAUCCCUCAAUAUCAAGAAACACAUCAUUGAAUUCUUGAGGUUGCCCCCAGCAAUUGGUUUGCACAUCUCCACGUUGAACCUCACCAACAAACUCCUGACUAACUUGAUCAGCAAACACUCCAUCGCCAAGCUCGCUAGCUUGAGCAAACACUUCUUGCACACAAUCACCAACAGGUCCUUGACCCAAGGCUGGCAGAAGCUCCCAACAACUGUUUUGAUCAAAAGCCUCAGGUUGGGCACAAUCACCAACACCAUAACCUUGCUCCCAAUAAAUAGAUUGAUCAAAACCCACAACACAAUUACCCAUAACUUGAGAUAAUUCGCCUACAAAUUCUUCCUGGACGACUGGAGUGAUCUUGUCUCCCCCAUGGCUCUUUGAAGUUCUCUUAUUUCCACCAGUGGGCGAUAGCGAUACGUUCCUUACCUUGCCACCUUGUGUCCAUUUUCCCUUGCACGACCUACAAGCGUAGCGCGGCUGGUCGCGCUUGCCAGUACUCUUCUCGUUGUUGUAGUAAUCGAACCGCGUGUUGUAAGAUUGGCACCUUGGGCACUGGUACACGUUGUCCGGAAGGUCGUGGUGCUCCCACAUGCCGUACAAGUUUUGAUCCCUCACCUCUUGGGCCGUGAGCUUGCAGGCCCUCUCGCUUCUCAGUCGACGCUUCUUUGUCAGCACCAUGAUACCAUCGUCUUCUCUACUUCUCUUGCUUGCUCUCGCCAUAGCUCGUACGAUCCUAAAGGACUUGACCUUAUUUAUUUAUAUAUGCACUAAAGUAAAGGCUGGGUUAGCUUAAAAAGCGUAGAUUCCCACUAAUAAUACAAUCAAGGCGCUAAAGGUUGAUGAUGGAAAACUGGUGAAGCUCAAGAUCAAUCUAUAGGCAUUUCCAUCCACGCUGUCCAGAGCGACGAGCUGUGGCUGUGACACAGAUGCCUUUGUCAGCACCUUGUUGAAGAUGGAAGUGCCGUGUUUGACAGGCGUUCAUUCCUCCGACUAUGAUCCAGGCCUACACUGAAAAAACGGCGAGCCGCACAUUGUAUCCAAGCAUCAAACUGUUCCAUGACACAGUCGAAAAAUCCAGCCUGUCGAACACUCCACGAGCGUCCACACUCGGCACGGGCUCGGCACACACGCGAAUCAAAACCGCUCGGAUUUUCACCGACUCAAACUUGACCACGCGUUUCUUCUCAGUCGCAUCAUCCAGUACGCUAUCUUCUUCUCGAGAAGAAUGCGAAGGAUUCUCUCGAGGAGGUUGAAACGUAUAAGAAGAACGUUUCGGUCCAAGAGGAAUAGGCUAAGGAGUGGAUGGAAAAAGAGAAAGAUGUUGAGCGUCUUCUUCAAGAAGCUCAGGCGAGAGGAGAUGCUGCUGAAGAAAGCAGCAAAUCAUGGCAGGCCGAAUGCGAAGACUUGAAAGAAAAGGUGGCAGCCGCUUCCAAAAUUGAGGCGAUCUUGAAGGAAACAGAAGCUCAACUACAGCUUCUUCAACAGACGGCAGCUGACGCCGAGAGCAAGAUCACGGCAUUGGAGUCCAAGUUGCGCUCCGCAGAGGAAUCUGCCGCAGGCCACGAAGGUGAUGCUCAAAAGCAUCUGAUGAAGGUGGCGGAACUUAGCGAGAGCCUGACAAGUAUCGAAGCCAUUGCCGCUGCUUCUGAAGAAAAGCUUAAGUCGAGCGAGCUUGUGAUUAGUGGCUUGCGGAGUGAUUUGGAAGAGGCAAAGUCAACAGCAGAGAAACACGUGGCGACUGCAGCUGGCAUUCAGGCAAAGCACGACGAUCUUCAAAAGGAACUCCAUGAGAAGCUGAGCCUGGCCGACGAGAAAUACCAAAACUACGAGCGAAGCUUGGAAGAGUCCUCGGCAACGACCUCGCAGUUAAAAGAGUCUCUCCUGGCUCUUCAAAGUCAAGCUAACGAAGCCGCAGAAUUGACUACAAAACUGCAAGCGGAGCUUCAAGAUUCCAAGGACAGGGAAGCGAAGCUCGCUGAGCAGCUCGAAGCGUCCAGAGCAGCGGGUGAAAAGCAAGAGGCAGAUUAUAAAGCGGCAUUGAAUGAGCUUCAAGAAUCACUGACGAGACAGACGGAGGAGGCGUCCUCUAGACACGAAGCUCUUGCGAGAGAUUUGAGCUCCGGCGUGGAAAGAGAGAAGGAACUUGAACACAAGCUUCGGACGGUGGAGGAGACGUCUGCGAUUCACGAGAAGUCCAGCAACGAGUAUAGCCAGAAAUCUGCGCAGCUCGAGGACAAGCUGCGUGAAAUCCAGGCAGAACUUUCCACUCACGCGGCAAAGGCUUCCGAGCUCGAAGGAGUUGUGGAGAGCUCUCGUCAAAUGCAUGUGACACUUCAAGGGAGCGUCGAAGCUGCCGAGAGCAAAUCUGCGCAUUACGAAGAGCUCGCCAACGUCUCCAACAAGAAGGUUACGGAGCUGGGGGAGGAGAUGUCGAGUUUACAUUCGAAACUGGCAUCUCUAGAGAAGGUUCUGGCGAGCCAGGAAGAAACUCUGAAGGCGGCUGUUGACACCGAGGCGGAGCUACGUCAACAGCUCAAGCUCGCAGAAGAAACUUCAGCAAUGCACGAGGCAACAGCAGGCGAACGAGAAAAGGUGGCCUCGGAAAGAGAGCAGGAGCUCUCGGCUGUGAACUCCAAGCUGACAGCUUUGAAAGAGACCUUGGCUGGCCAAGAGGAGACUCUCAAGUCGGCUUUCCAAGCCGAGGCAGAACUGCGAGGCAAGCUUUCGAGCGCAGAAGAAGCUACGGCAAAGCAUCAGGCUGACGCAGGGGAGAGCCAG